rnacentral:rRNA from 1 species
AGUGAACGCUGGCGGUAGGCCUAACACAUGCAAGUCGAACGGCAGCACAGUAAGAGCUUGCUCUUACGGGUGGCGCGUGGCGGACGGGUGAGGAAUACAUCGGAAUCUACUUUUUCGUGGGGGAUAACGUAGGGAAACUUACGCUAAUACCGCAUACGACCUACGGGUGAAAGCAGGGGAUCUUCGGACCUUGCGCGAUUGAAUGAGCCGAUGUCGGAUUAGCUAGUUGGCGGGGUAAAGGCCCACCAAGGCGACGAUCCGUAGCUGGUCCGAGAGGAUGAUCAGCCACACUGGAACUGAGACACGGUCCAGACUCCUACGGGAGGCAGCAGUGGGGAAUAUUGGACAAUGGGCGCAAGCCUGAUCCAGCCAUACCGCGUGGGUGAAGAAGGCCUUCGGGUUGUAAAGCCCUUUUGUUGGGAAAGAAAAGCAGCAGGUUAAUACCCCGCUGUUCUGACGGUACCCAAAGAAUAAGCACCGGCUAACUUCGUG